AAUUUGAGCAUAAAUGUGCAUUUAAGUUGUUGUAGUUAAAAAUCUCGUAGUUGGAUCUUGGAUCGUAAAGGUCGAUCCACCUACUUGGUGUGCACCUGCCCUUCCGCCCUUUUGUCGAUGGCGUGCUCCUGGACUUAAUUGGCCGGGUCGCAGUUCCGAUGUUACUUUGAAAAAAAUAUAGUGCUCAAAGCAAGCUUAUGCUCUGAAUACAUUAGCAUGGAAUAAAGCGAUAGGAGUUUGGUCCUAUUGUGUUAUACUUCGAGACCAGAGUAAUGAUUAAUAGGGACUGUCGGGGGCAUUCGUAUUUCAUUGUCAGAGGUGAAAUUCUUGGAUUUAUGAAAGAUGAACCACUGUGAAAGCAUUUGCCAAGGAUGUUUUCAUUAAUCAAGAACGAAAGUUGGGGGCUCAAAGACGAUCAUAUACCAUCCUAGUCUCAACCAUAAACGAUGCCAACUAGGGUUCAACGGAUGUUUCUCUAAGGACUCUGCCAACACCUUAUGAGAAAUCAGAGUGUUUGGGUUCCGGGGGGAGUAUGGUCACAAGGAUGAAACUUAAAGGAAUUGACAGAAGGGCACCGCUAGGAGUGGAUCCUGCGGAUUAAUUUGACUCAACACGGGAAAACUUACCAGGUCCAGACAUAGUAAGGAUUGACAGAUUGAGAGCUCUUUCUUGAUUCUAUGGGUGGUGGUACAUGGUCGUUCUUAG
rnacentral:ncRNA from 1 species